UACAUGGGGUGCAAACGUUGCUCGGAAUUAUUGGGCGUAAAGCGCACGUAGGCGGUUCGUUAAGUCGGAUGUGAAAGCCCUCGGCUCAACUGAGGAAGUGCACCCGAAACUGGCGAGCUUGAGUACGAAAGAGGAUCGCGGAAUUCCCGGUGUAGAGGUGAAAUUCGUAGAUAUCGGGAGGAACACCGGUGGCGAAGGCGGUUCUCUGGGCCUUACCUGACGCUGAGGAGCGAAAGCGUGGGGAGCGAACAGG
rnacentral:rRNA from 1 species